rnacentral:rRNA from 1 species
AUUGAACGCUGGCGGCAGGCCUAACACAUGCAAGUCGAACGGUAACAGGAAACAGCUUACUGUUUCGCUGACGAGUGGCGGACGGGUGAGUAAUGUCUGGGAAACUGCCUGAUGGAGGGGGAUAACUACUGGAAACGGUAGCUAAUACCGCAUAACGUCGCAAGACCAAAGAGGGGGACCUUCGGGCCUCUUGCCAUCGGAUGUGCCCAGAUGGGAUUAUCUUGUUGGUGGGGUAACGGCUCACCAAGGCGACGAUCCCUAGCUGGUCUGAGAGGAGGACCAGCCACACUGGAACUGAGACACGGUCCAGACUCCUACGGGAGGCAGCAGUGGGGAAUAUUGCACAAUGGGCGCAAGCCUGAUGCAGCCAUGCCUCGUGUAUGAAGAAGGCCUUCGGGUUGUAAAGUACUUUCAGCGGGGAGGAAGGGAGUAAAGUUAAUACCUUUACUCAUUGACGUUACCCGCAGAAGAAGCACCGGCUAACUCCGUGCCAGCCGCCGCGGUAA